CAGAGGUUCAGUUCCUCUCCAGGUGCUCUGCUGACUAAUGAUUUGACUUCAGCCAGAGAAAGGACUGAAUGAGUCACACAUCCUGACUCACAUCACAUCCCAUCCAAACAUGACUCGGCUCAGUUGGACUGCUUUGGUUUUGUUAAUGAGCAUUUUGCAGGGUCCAGGGUCAUCCAAUUCUGGACAUGACCGUUCAAGAAAUGGAAAUUCCAAUAAAAAUAAUUUCAUGAAAUAUUCAA